GCCUAGCUGGCUCAGUCAGUAGAGUAUAUGACUCUUGAUCUCAGAGCUGCGGGUUCAAGCCCCAUGUUGGGUA
rnacentral:tRNA from 1 species